rnacentral:rRNA from 1 species
UCCCUGAGUAGUGGCGAGCGAAACGGGAACAGCCUAAACCGUUUGUUUUUUACAAACGGGGUUGCGGGGCUGCGUAAGUAGAGUAAAAAAAUUUUUCGAUAGACGAAAUGGUCUGGACAUGACUUACCAAAGAAGGUGAAAGUCCUGUAGUCGAAAUCGAAAAAUCUCGAAGCAGUACCCCAAGUACCACGGGACUCGAGAAAUCCUGUGGGAAUCAGGGAGGACCAUCUUCCAAGGCUAAAUACUAACUAGUGACCGAUAGCGAACAAGUACCGUGAGGGAAAGGUGAAAAGAACCCCGGUGAGGGGAGUGAAAAGAUUCUGAAAUCGUGCGCCUACAAGCCGUUGGAGGGCUAUGCCCGUAAGGGAAUGCCUGACAGCGUGCCUUUUGCAUAAUGAGCCUGCGAGUUACUAUUGGCAGCGAGGUUAAGUCUGUAGACGGAGCCGUAGCGAAAGCAAGUCUGAAAUGGGCGUAUAGUUGCCAGGAGUAGACCCGAAACCCGGUGAAUCUAUCCAUGUCCAGG